rnacentral:rRNA from 1 species
AUACAGGGUCCAACGGAUCUUGUAAUUGGAAUGAGAACAAUCCAAACCCCUUAACGAGUAUCAAUUGGAGGGCAAGUCUGGUGCCAGCAGCCGCGGUAAUUCCAGCUCCAAUAGCAUAUAUUAAAGUUGUUGCAGUUAAAACGCUCGUAGUUGAAUCUCGGGCCGGACGGGACGGCGGGCCAUGAGGCUUUAGCUUGACUCGCUGGUCAAAAUCUUUCCGGAGCAGACCGUAUGCACUUAACUGGGUGUGCGGAGAACUCUGCUCCGGACGUUUACUUUGAAAAAAUUAGAGUGUUCAAAGCAGGCGUUUUCGCUGUGAAUAUCUUAGCAUGGAAUAAUGAAAUAUGACCUUGGUUGUGUUUUGUUGGUUUUAAUGACCGAAGUAAUGAUUAAUAGGGAUAGUUGGGGGCAUUUGUAUUUCGUUGUCAGAGGUGAAAUUCUUGGAUUUACGAAAGACAAACUACUGCGUAAGCAUCUGCCAAGGAUGUUUUCAUUAAUCAAGAACGAAAGUUGGGGGAUCGAAGAUGAUCAGAUACCGUCGUAGUCUCAACUAUAAACGAUGCCGACCAGGGAUUAGAAGCUGUUAAUUUGCAUGACGCUUCUGGCACCUUUGGAGAAAUCAGAGUGUUUGGGUUCUGGGGGGAGUAUGCUCGCAAGGCUGAAACUUAAAGGAAUUGACGGAAGGGCACCACCAGGAGUGGAGCCUGCGGCUUAAUUUGACCCAACACGGGGAAACUCACCAGGUCCAGACAUAGUAAGGAUUGACAGAUUGAGAGCUUUUUCUUGAUUCUAUGGGUGGUGGUGCAUGGCCGUUCUUAGUUGGUGGAGUGAUUUGUCUGGUUGAUUCCGUUAACGAACGAGACCUCAGCCUGCUAAAUAGUUACUGGAUCUCACGAUUCAGGGCAACUUCUUAGAGGGACUAUUUGCGUCUAGUGAAUGGAAGUUUGAGGCGAUAACAGGUCUGUGAUGCCCUUAGAUGUCCUGGGCCGCACGCGCGCUACACUGACAAAGUCAACGAGUAUAUAACCUUGCCCGAAAGGGUUGGGUAAUCUCUUAAAUUUUGUCGUGAUGGGGAUUGACUAUUGUAAUUAUUAGUCAUAAACGAGGAAUUCCUAGUAAGUGCAAGUCAUCAGCUUGCGUUGAUUACGUCCCUGCCCUUUGUACACACCGCCCGUCGCUCCUACCGAUUGAAUGUUCCGGUGAAAUCUUGGGAUUGCGGCGACUUAGCUUCACGGCCAGGUUGUUGCGAGAACUUGCUUAAACCUUAACAUUUAGAGGAAGGAGAAGUCGUA